UCAGAUAUAAUAUUGCAUCUUCCAAGGCUUUCUCGUCCUUUAGGGUUCUCAGAAUCCCUAGCAUAUUCGAGGUCCUUUUUCGUUUAUUCGUCUAGAUCCGUAUUAGAUCUAUGUUGUGCGUGAUGUUUAAAGCAUUUUCCCCAAAUUUCCUUUUUCAAAAUCCUUUGAUUUUAAAUUAGGGUUUCUGAGUCUGUCUUUUAAAUAUUUGUUCGAUUCAUCUGCCUAUCAUCUCUAGGUUUAAUUGCUGAUUGAAAACCCUAACUUUUUAGAUUUGUUUGAUUUUUCUAAGUCUACACGCUAUUAUUGUUUGAUUUACUGCUUAGCGGUGAAAAUCCUAACUUUUGGGGUUUAUUUGAGACUCUGAGAUUGUUUAUGUGUUUAUCUGCUUAUCUUCUUUUAACCUUACUAAUUUUGAAAACCCUUGUUCUUUGGGGUCUAUUUGAGCUCAUGAAAUCCUUCGUCUAUUUGAAAUUGCUCAAUAUGAUUUCUUUGCUUCAGCAUCUCUAUUCCUUUAUGUGAUUUCUUUUGGUUCUAAGUUCUUGCUACUUGUCAAACUCGACUAUGAUUUUCAUUCAACUCCUUGCAUGCUUCUGGUCCUUUCUCUGUCACUAAAUUACUGAAAACCUGAUUUACGUGACUAUUAUAUGAUUAUUCUCUUUGUUAUGAGUACAACCUCACAUGCCUAAGGUUAUGCACUCCUUUAUAUGCUAAAUUUCCCUCUCAAAGUAGCCCUUGAUUAUGGACUGAUUUCAAAUCUCUUUGUAUGAUUCUGAUUGCACUCUUAUAAUUGAUGCUUUCCUUAUUGUACUGAUUUCCCUGCUUCUUGGACCUAUUUGCAUGCUUUCCUUUGAAAUUUAUACCCCUACCUUUUCUAAUCAAGUUGAUUGAUCCCCUUACCUUAAUUAUAUUGGUAUUGGACUCUUAUCGAUCUUUGCUUGACUAAAGUUUGAUAAACCUAGCCUCUAUUACCUACUAUGUACCUGUACUAUGCUAGAAAUACUUCCUUAUUAGUCAUAUUCAUCCUACGUGAUUUCUUUCCUUAUUUUAGCACUUGCAUGUUACAUUUGAUUUUAAUUCCUCAAUUAAAGGAAGUCUUUGAUACUGAUUUGAUUUUAACUGACACUUGUUUCCCUAAUUAUUGCUGAACUACAAUCCUUACCUUAUUUUCUGCCUGUUUUUACACUAUAAAUACUUGGUUUUCUUAUUAACAAAGACACGAACACACAUAGACAAGUUCUGAAAAACACACUACUUCUCUUUCCUUUACUCAAAUAUUUUCUAAGUUUUCUGCAAACCUCUUUUCGAGCCUUCUGCUAAAAUCCUGUUUUGAUUUUUCUCUGUUUGCCUGUGGAUACAAG
rnacentral:lncRNA from 1 species